rnacentral:rRNA from 1 species
AGCAUAUCAAUAAGCGGAGGAAAAGAAACCAACAGGGAUUGCCCCAGUAACGGCGAGUGAAGCGGCAACAGCUCAGAUUUGAAAUCUGGCCCUUACGGGGUCCGAGUUGUAAUCUGUAGAGGAUGCUUUUGGCGACGCGCCUUCCGAGUCCCCUGGAACGGGGCGCCAGAGAGGAUGAGAGCCCCGUAUGGUUGGACGCCGAACCUUUGUAAAGCUCCUUCGACGAGUCGAGUAGUUUGGGAAUGCUGCUCAAAAUGGGAGGUAAAUUUCUUCUAAAGCUAAAUACCGGCCAGAGACCGAUAGCGCACAAGUAGAGUGAUCGAAAGAUGAAAAGCACUUUGAAAAGAGGGUCAAAUAGCACGUGAAAUUGCUGAAAGGGAAGCGCUUGUGACCAGACUUGCGCCCGGUUGAUCAUCCAGCGUUCUCGCUGGUGCACUCUGCCGGGCUCAGGCCAGCAUCGGCUUUCCCAGGGGGAUAAAGGUCGCGGGAACGUAGCUCUCUCCGGGGAGUGUUAUAGCCCGUGGCGGAAUGCCCUUAGGGGGGGCCGAGGCUCGCGUUCGCAAGGAUGCNGGCGUAAUGGUCACCAGCGACCCGUC